rnacentral:rRNA from 1 species
UACGUAGGUGGCAAGCGUUAUCCGGAUUUACUGGGUGUAAAGGGAGCGUAGGCGGAUUUUUAAGUGAGAUGUGAAAUACUCGGGCUCAACUUGAGUGCUGCAUUUCAAACUGGAAGUCUAGAGUGCAGGAGAGGAGAAUGGAAUUCCUAGUGUAGCGGUGAAAUGCGUAGAGAUUAGGAAGAACACCAGUGGCGAAGGCGAUUCUCUGGACUGUAACUGACGCUGAGGCUCGAAAGCGUGGGGAUCGAACAGG